CAGAGUGCGUCGCGCACCCGCUGAAAAAUUCGUCCGCAUUCUCCCCCCUCACAGCAAAACUAGGGUUUGGGGGCAUCACUACGCGCCGUCCACCGCCGGGCCAGACUCCGGCGCGCCGUCCGCCGGGGCUUCGUCCGUCCGUCUGUCCGUCCGCCGUCCGCCGGGCCGCCGUCUGUCUGCCGGCGCGCCGUCCGCCGUGGCCCUCGGCCGCCCCACCCUCCUCCGCCUGCCCCACCAUCGUCAGGCCGCCCCGUCGGCCAUCGGCGUCCUCCGGCCCACCGUCCUCCGCCACGGCCUCGUCCGCUCGCCGUCCUCCACAGCGCCCUCGUCGGCCCGUCGCGCUCGUCCCGUCCCCAGCAAGGUCGGUGGCUCCUGCUAGCCUUCCUCCUCUCUUCCGGUUACUGCAACUGCAAAGAUGAACAACAAGAACUAAGACAUGCAUAUUAUUCUCUGGAAUAAAUUGCAGCACGAAUACUAUUGAUUAGGUGCUAUUAACCUGGCUGAUAACUCCCUAGUGUUCAGCAUCUUCACCAAUUAAGGGCUGAGAAUAAAAACCUUUUUCAGAAGUUAGAACUACAGGAUUAUGAAAGUUUCUUGAACAUACGUCAAAAGGCAGUGCACAUGGAUUGCUGUAAAUCGUGCUAGAUGUGAUUGCUGAACUUUUCAGCUACUGUUAUGUGCAAAAUUUAUUAGUGCACACUCUUUAGACCAUAUUGGAUUUAUAACAUAUUUUUUUGCUCACCUCCAGCUCAGUGGUUCCGGUCUCUCAAUACAAAAGAAUGCCAUUGGUUCAAGUGUUGUAUUGACGUUGUCUUUUGUAAUUCGUCUCCGCAGAUUAGCCUCAAAAAUAAAUGAAAUGCUCGUUUUCAGUAUCAAUACAUUUUUAUUUGAAUAUAGAUAACCAGAAUGUUAAAUGAAGGCUACUUAUCUCACACUUCAUUAGUACAGAUUGUAUCUAUAUUCAUUAGUACAGAUUGUAUCUAUAACCUCACCGAGGAUGUAUCUAACCAACCAAACAGUAUC